rnacentral:rRNA from 1 species
UGAAAAGCACUUUGAAAAGAGAGUUAAAAGGACGUGAAACCGUUGAAAGGGAAACGCGCUCGGCUAGCAAUGCACGCUUGUGGUUCAGCCGGCUAGUCCUGUGCGUCGUCGUGUGUGGAUCCGAACGGACCGCCCGCGGCGACGGCGCUGGGCGAGCUGUGGUGCACUCCAUGGGCAUGCGCGUCAGCGUCGGUUCGCGGUGAGUGAUGAGGUGCCGGGGGAAGGUAGCUCGCCUCCUUGGAGGGGAGUAUUAUAGACCCUGGNGCUGGGCUCGCNGCGGACCGAGGAGAGAGAUGAUCGCUGCGGCACCUGCCUUCGGGCUAGCCAGCUGUUGCCAGAUGUGUGUCAGGCGUUGAGGACUGCACGCAGUGCUCGGUGUCUUGGCGUGGUCUGGUGGUGGUGUGGGCAUAGAGGUGCCUAGGACGCUGGCGUCCAAAUGGCCGUGCGCGACCCGUCUUGAAACACGGA